rnacentral:rRNA from 1 species
UACGAAGGGGGCUAGCGUUGUUCGGAAUUACUGGGCGUAAAGCGCGCGCAGGCGGUCUUCCAAGUCAGUGGUGAAAGCCCGGAGCUCAACUCCGGAACUGCCAUUGAAACUGUUGGACUUGAGUACGAGAGAGGUGAGUGGAAUUCCCAGUGUAGAGGUGAAAUUCGUAGAUAUUGGGAAGAACACCGGUGGCGAAGGCGGCUCACUGGCUCGUAACUGACGCUCAGGCGCGACAGCGUGGGGAUCGAACAGG